CUGGAAUUGCAUGCACAAUGGCGUGUAUCUGUGCUUAUGGAGGCUGUGCUGGAGACAGGGCCCGUGGUCUUCAGAUUUUCAGAGAAACCUGGGAUCAAAAAGAGUUUCAGAAUCACUGUCCUGGUUUCAGCACUGAAAAUCCCACGUCCUGGGAUGACUGCUGUUGGUAGCAGGCAGCAUAGUCCCCAAAGGAGGAGAAGAUUGAGUUUACAUUCCUGGCGGUUCUCCUAUCUCAGCAGGAGGAAAAAGGCUAUGGGAAGUGGGAACAGGGUACAAAGCUCAGAAACGGACUUGGAGAAGGCUGAAGAGGAAGUCCUGGGACAGAAUGAGGUGAUUGUGACAGCAGCGCUUCAACGUUCUCGCCGGAGGUUCCAACGCCAGAUCCCUGCAGAAGGCACCUGUCUUCCCACUUUCCCUUUAGUUGACGCCACCGUUUCUGGGACAAGUUGAGGAAGGAGCACCAAGCAGUAGAAGUUUCUGAGGAGUGAAAGGGUGGCCAGAAAGACCCCCUCACCCAAAAUUCUGUGCUGAUGUUUAGGGUGCUUUUGUCCGUCAAGCCCUUUGGAAUGUGUGGCUCCAGCUUCCCCGGCUGCUUUUCACCCUAAGGACCAGGCAUCCGCAGACUUCCAGAGACGACAGCAUAUAAUUCCUGUAGGUGUCAGUCCUUUGAGACGCAGUUCUCCCAGAGCAAGCCCUGCUUCCUAUAAGCAGCCACACUUGUCGCUCAGGCCCCGCUGGGUCCUGUCUUCUGUUGACAUCAAGCAAGGCAGGGAGGAGCAUGGACAAUGGUGUCAGAGACACUCCCUUUUGAGCAUUUGCCUCUACAGAACCUGGCCAGGGCCAUGGGAUGCCCUGUUUGGCCACCUGAGGCCUGAAUCCAUCGGGAUCUGUAAGAAGCGACCACUGACAUUGAGAAUGGCACCAGCCACCUCCAGAAGGGGCAGGUCAUCUGACUCACUGGCCGCACACUUCACCUGCGGAAGAAAGCCCAACGCUUACCCAGAUGAAGAAAGAGGCAUCUGUGCUAAAUUAGGUGACCGAAGACCAAAGACCUUUUGACUUAAGACCAAAAAGCAGCCACAGGGCUCCCUUCCCUCCUGUCAAAAUUGUUAAGGUGCAAAAGACACCCCCACCCACCAGCCUCUUCAAUUCCAGGCAGAACCCAGCCCUGUGCCUGGCUGUCAUCAAGGGCACCAGGCUGGUGUUUUGGCAACAAACCAGCUUUCAAAGUGACAUCAAAUUGCUGUGAAUCACCGAUCUGAUUCAAAUGAAGGCUUAGGUGGAUUUAGAGAUAGCUGAUUGCCUCAGAUUAGUGCACAAUUGCCUCAGAAAGUCAUUUACCUCUGGGAGUUUCAGGUACUAAACACUUAGAGUUUGCAUUUAAACCCUAAACUGGGACAGGGGCAGCCAUUGUUUUGCUGGCAGGACCCAGUGAAGGCUGACCCCUCGUACCUACGACUAUUCUGUGAUUGGUCCCUCCUCAUCUCCCUGCCCCAUCCCAUCUAAGCCCGGUUCAUUUUAUUUCAAAGAUGAAAACGACUCUCGAAGUUGUGAUUUGGUCUCCCCGGUCACGCCCCUCAUGAGUGGAGCCCCGUGUCCCCCGUAUCUGUCUGUGUUCUUCACCAGGAGGUUUUUCCAUUUUCUGUGACUUUUGUUGCUGCGAAGUUCUUCCUGGUCCUGGGUCCCAACUGACCACCUUCCAGCCCCAGUCAUCCUGCAGGUCCUCAUGGUGGAAGUCCACUCCCCUUCUCAUGCCAUGUUCCUUCACAGAUGUGAACAGCUCUCUCUGUCCUGUCUUUUAAAGACCCAGACCCUGAUCCCCUCCUACUACCAAACCAUGGUUCUGGAACUCUUCAUGUCUCAUCCAUCCUCCCUCUAGCUUUUCCUACUGGGGGCCUCCUUCUCAGAAUGGAGCAGCUACAUACACCAGGGGUGGAUUCAAUAAUGUCACCUCCCUUGUUUCAGCCAGUAGACCUCUAUUGAUUUAGUCUAAAGUCACAUUGGCCUUUUGGCAGCCUGUCCCUAUGGUGACUCAUAAUGAGGUUCAUUUGGAGUCAACCAAAACUCUUAUGAAGGACACUGCCUGGACACAUCCACCCCUGCCCCCAAGCAGGUAGCUGUUUUGUUGAGCUUCGGAGCAAAAUGUCCGACUUUUACAUUUGUCCCUGUUACAUUUCUCUGUUUUAAUCUGCCCCAUCAUUCCUAUAGUUUUCUGUCAUCUGGGAACCUGUUGCAAAUGCCUUCUGUUGAUUGAUCCACAUUAUUGUUUACAGAGCAAUUUUGUUAUGGAAUCACCUAACCAUGUCAGCCUACAGCUUGCUUCCCUCUGCCUUGUUCAGAAAGGUCACAGAAGGCUGCUUGUUCACAGCUUUGCUGAAACAUCUUAAAGUGUUGGGCCAGGAGAAGUGUUAGAGACCAUCUGCUUCAAGCCCUUCAUAUUUCAGAUGAAGAAAUUGAGGCCAGGUGAGGUAAAGGGGCUGCUAAAAGAUUAUACAGUGAUCUUGUCUGCAGUAGAGCCAAAGAUCAGGACUCAGAGAUUCCCAUACCCAAGGACCCUUCGGUUAUUUGCCCAGCAAGGAAACCACUGGUACACUGCAUCCAGUCUGCUGGAA